UACGAAGGGGGCUAGCGUUGCUCGGAAUCACUGGGCGUAAAGCGCACGUAGGCGGAUUGCUAAGUCAGGGGUGAAAUCCUGGAGCUCAACUCCAGAACUGCCUUUGAUACUGGGAGCUUGAGUCCGGGAGAGGUGAGUGGAACUCCGAGUGUAGAGGUGAAAUUCGUAGAUAUUCGGAAGAACACCAGUGGCGAAGGCGGCCUCACUGGCCCCGGUACUGGACG
rnacentral:rRNA from 1 species